rnacentral:lncRNA from 1 species
GCCAUUCUCCUGCCUCAGCCUCCCGAGUAGCUGGGACUACAGGCGCCCGCUACCACGCCCGGCUAAUUGGGUCCCUGAAUUUCAUCCGAAGAGCAGCUGCCCUCUGAUCUGAAAUACUCAUUUUGUCUUUAUGUGAGGAAGAUAUAAACUUUCACUGGGGUUCUGUUAAAGACAGCUUCUUCUUGCUCCUCAAAAACACUGGCUGCUCAUCUGGCCCCAAAAUCUGCACAUGGUUCAUUCCUUCAUUUCAUAUGGAGUUUCGCUCUUGUUGCCCAGGCUGGAGUGCAG